GAAAGGCAGCGGGCCACGCGCAGGUGUUUCCCUGGACAAAAUAUCCAGUAUGAACCAAUUCAAUAAAAUCAUACCUGAUGACAAGAAAAUAAGUCCGUCGAUUGCCGCGGUGCUUGUCGCUGUGCUUUGCCUAUUACAUCUGCCGCACGUUUGUAGGACGGGCGAAGACUGGCGCUGUGGUUAUUAUAGCUUCCUGAACACCGUGCGAUGCUUUUUAUAGAUAGGUUUCAGGGGUAUUUAUCGUGGAUGCGUUCAGGAGCUCCUGUACAGUGCCUGUUGGGCCUGUUGGUGUGAAUAACCUUUUCGCUGGUGCCCCUCGGUUCCAAGCAACGCACGAUAUCAAGCGC
rnacentral:lncRNA from 1 species